UACGUAGGGUGCGAGCGUUGUCCGGAAUUAUUGGGCGUAAAGAGCUCGUAGGCGGUCCAUCGCGUCGGGAGUGAAAAGCUGGGGCUUAACCCCAGUCCUGCUUCCGAUACGGGUGGACUAGAGGUAGGUAGGGGAGAUCGGAAUUCCUGGUGUAGCGGUGAAAUGCGCAGAUAUCAGGAGGAACACCGGUGGCGAAGGCGGAUCUCUGGGCCUUACCUGACGCUGAGGAGCGAAAGCAUGGGGAGCAAACAGG
rnacentral:rRNA from 1 species